UAUGGGAAGACGUGAUGCGGAGUGAAGUUUAGUAAUGAAGUCCGUGAGCUGUGCGUCAAGAAAAGCCGCUAUUGUUCAUACCAUACCCGUACCGUAAACCGACACAGGUGGAUGAGGAGAGAAUCCUAAGGCCGGCGGAAGAAGCAUUGUCAAGGAACUCGGCAAAAUGACCCCGUAACUUCGGGAGAAGGGGUGCCUGCGAGAGCAGGCCGCAGAGAAUAGGCUCAAGCAACUGUUUAGCAAAAACACAGGUCUAUGCGAAACCGAAAGGUGAGGUAUAUGGGCUGACGCCUGCCCGGUGCUGGAAGGUUAAGAGGAGAGGUUAGCGCAAGCGAAGCUUUGAAUUUAAGCCCCAGUAAACGGCGGCCGUAACGAUAACGGUCCUAAGGUAGCGAAAUUCCUUGUCGGGUAAGUUCCGACCCGCACGAAAGGCGUAAUGAUUUGAGCGCUGUCUCGACAAUGCAUCCGGUGAAAUUGAAGUACCAGUGAAGAUGCUGGUUACCUGCGCCAGGACGGAAAGACCCCAUGGAGCUUUACUCCAGUUUGGUACUGGGAUCCGGUACUGCAUGUACAGGAUAGGUGGGAGGCUGAGAAUCGGUAACGCCAGUUGCCGAGGAGCCGCUGUUGGGAUACCACCCUUGCAGUAUUGGGUUUCUAACCAGCCGCCGUGACCCGGCGGUGGGACAAUGCCAGACGGGGAGUUUGACUGGGGCGGUCGCCUCCGAAAGGGUAUCGGAGGCGCCCAAAGGUUCCCUCAGGAUGGACGGAAACCAUCCAAAGAGUGCAAAGGCAGAAGGGAGCUUGACUGCGACACCGACGGGUGGAGCAGGUACGAAAGUAGGGCUUAGUGAUCCGGUGGUAUUAAGUGGAAUGCCAUCGCUCAACGGAUAAAAGUUACCCUGGGAAAACAGGCUUAUCACUCCCAAGAGUUCACACCGACGGAGUGGUUUGGCACCUCGAUGUCGGCUCAUCGCAUCCUGGGGCUGUAGUAGGUCCCAAGGGUUGGGCUGUUCGCCCAUUAAAGCGGUACGCGAGCUGGGUUCAGAACGUCGUGAGACAGUUCGGUCCCUAUCCGGCGUGGGCGUAGGAUAUCUGAGAGGAGCUGUCCUUAGUACGAGAGGACCGGGAUGGACGGGCCGCUGGUGCACCGGUUAGACUGCCAAGUCUAUAGCCGGGUAGCCAAGCCCGGAAGGGAUAAACGCUGAAGGCAUCUAAGCGUGAAGCCCCCCUCAAGAUGAGAUAUCCCAUCCGAAAGGAGUAAACCCCCUUGAAGACGACGAGGUCGAUAGGGCAGAGGUGGAAGUGUGGUAACACAUGGAGCUGACUGCUACUAAUAGGGUGAGGGCUUGAGC
rnacentral:rRNA from 1 species